rnacentral:lncRNA from 1 species
UUGCCAUGAGCUGUGGUGUAGUUGCAGACACAGCUCAGAUCUGGGUUUGUGGUGGCUGUGGCAUAGGUCAGCAGCUACAGCUCAGGUUUGACCCCUAGUCUGGGAAUCUCCAUAUGCAGCACAGGUGCUGCUCUGAAAAGCAAAAAGCAGGAGUUCCCAUCGUGGCUCAGUGGUUAAUGAAUCCGACUAGGAAGCAUGAGGUUGAGGGUUCGAUCCUUGGCCUCGAUCAGUGGGUUAGGGAUCUGGUGUUGCCGUGAGCUUGCUGUGAGCUGUGGUGUAGGUCACAGACGUGGUUCAGAUCUGGCAUUGCUGUGGCUCUGACGUAGGCCAGCAGAGCAGCUACAGCUCUGAUUAGACCCCUACCUAGCCUGGGAACCUCCAUAUGCCGUGGGUGCAGCCCUAAAAGGACAAAAGACCAAAAAUAAAUAAAUAAAAAUUAAAUAAUAAUAAAAAGCUCUCAGAAAAAAAGGAAAAAACAAACAAAAACUGAGAGGAAGUAGUCCACAGAUGACCUAAUUUUAACCUUUGAAAUCAUUGUUUUAAAAAGAUCUAUUCUUGAUAAAUGCUUUUAGUUAAUUGGCAUUAAUGCCAAGUCACAUUUUCUAAAGCUUUACUAUUCAUUUCUCUCAUUUCUUGUCCUGAGAAGUGUUAGUGAGAGUAGAAAGCUCUCCUAUAGAAACCAUAAUCUAGAGCUUUUUGACUCUUAGCAAUGGUUAACUGUGUCAGCUCACAGGAAGGAUUAGAUUAAGGAUUGGUUGUUAAGUCAGACUCAGGCAAGUCAGAUAUUUCCCCCAAUCAAGCUUUAUUAACAGUUUCAAGGAAACAAUCGAUCAAUGGGAUAACCAAAAAGGGAUCUGGAGCUGCUUAUCUCAGCAUUUUAAUUCUUAGAUUCUAUGGAAAUACAUGGAGUGGAGUUGGAGUAUAACUUAAACUAAUUAAUUUUACCUUUAUUCCUCAUCUGGCAUGGGACAAAGUUUGCUAAGAUUGAAAUUUUUAGAUAAGAGUAAGUUUUACUUUUACUUAUACAUUUCAAUUUUCCUAAGUAUUGAGUGAAUCUUAAAUUUGCAACAUAUGAAGUUGGUUAUGCUAACUCAUAGAUCACUUCUUGUAACGUGGAAAUCAAAUUAGGGCAAUGAUUUCUGUCUUUGAGAUUUCUUUUAAUAUUAAGACAUUUUAAAUAUUUAAUCCUUUUAAAAUAUUUUAUUGCUAAUAUAUUUUAUGUAGAGCAAAUUGUGGUAUUCAACAAGAGAUCUUGGAAUUCAUAAAUGUGUGUGCUGUAAUUUUCAGAAGCAAAAAUAUUUUGGCUAGUGAAGAUAAUUUUAAAGGAGAAACAAAGAUUUUCAAGCAGAAAUAGUGACAGUGAAAGAUACUGCUUUCUUUUAAGAAUAUUUCAAAUGCUACUUUUUGUGAACCCAACCACACAUCAAUAGGUGAUUCUAGACUUAAUAUCUCUACAGGAUGUUAGGAUAUGUUUAGGAGCUAAUUUAUUCAGUAAGGUAGAGGAUUUUUGUUUUCUGGAUUUUUUUCAAAUGUAUUGGUUUUUUUAUUUGACAAUGUUUAUAACUCAGCUUAAUUCAUUGUAACCUUCAUUUCUCCUCUGUGACAUUGCCACUCAACUGUUGAAUAAAAUUUUAAUAAUAUUUGGUGGAUAAAAUUAUCCAUAUUCAGAUGUAGAUUUCUAAGACUCAGUUGAGAAUAAUGAUGCCUCAUUUCCAAAAUUUUUCAGAGGAGGUUGUCACAUUGAAUAAGUAGAGAUUUUUAUUUGAUAAUUUUCUGGAGAUAAUUGUAAGUUCUAAUAUCCCUAAAACAGAAUAUUAAUCAGGAAUUAAAAUCAUAAAACCUGAGCCCUACGUGUGACUAUUUCAUAUCUGUUUGCAGAUAGUAAAGAUUCAUAGUAAGCCUACUAAACAUGAAAUGCCGAGACCUCGGCACUUAAAAUAAUAUAAACAUUAACAAAUAUAAAUUAAACCAGUCUGGGCCCAAUGCCCAGGGAUCUAGUAAAGCAAACAAAACUGAGCAAAGACAUUUCUAAGAUGAAGAGCUAAAGACAACUGACAGAAUUGAAGAUGCCCUGAGUCAACUGAAAAAGUCUUUACACCUCUUUGCAAAAUGGGUAUCACCGGAUUCAUGAUGCGCAAAACCUGGAGCAUUGGGUUGUGAAGCCUAUAUGGCAGCAGAGAUGUUAGACUCACAUGACAAAGUGUAUAUACAUACCUGUUGAGUCCCUGGUCUGUGCCCUUCUCUCGAUCCAGACUUCUGGGAUCAAUGUUGAGCUCUUCUACCAAUCAUCUUAAGAAUCUGGCUUUAUUCCUUACACUCAAACCCAAUACCCAUUUCACUUCCCAGGCCUGAAAAUCUUGUAGACUUCAAGCUGACAUAGUUUCCUUUCCCCUCCAUUAAGAGGUGCAUGCUUCUCUGUAUUCAUGAGGAAAGGGCUUCAGUGUAUUUCAGCCUUGGACAUGGUCUAGGAGACAGUGGCAUAAGUAAAAAGCUUGUUUUUUACCUUUAUAUCCAUCUUUUUUAAAAACUUAAUUUUAUUGGAAUAUAGUUGAUUCACAAUGGUGUAUGAGUUUCAGGUGUACAGCAAAGUGAAUCAUACAUAUAAAUAAAUUGAUUCUUUUUUCCCCGUAUAGGUUCUUACAAACCAUUGAGUAGAUUUUCCUGCUAUACAUAUACCCAUCUUUUGAGCACUAAUGAUUUAAAAAUAGGAAGUACUGAUGUUUGUUGACUGAGUUGAACCUGUGUUGAUGCCUGCUCAGCAUUAGGUUAGCACCUCUGGGGGCAUCAUUAAGAAGUCCCUUCAACAUAAUUACAUGGGGGGGAUAGAGGCAGUGUUUUAUAUCUUUAUAUAACUGAAGGUAAAACAUAAAAAUUUAAUAAAUUGGACAUGUCAACUACAUUUCCUAAAAGCGAGGAUUUAAAAAAUGGGCUUCGGUUGCAUCUGGGGUUUGUGUCAAGUAGUAGACAUUGCCCUGAAGCAAAAGAAAACAAAAUAGAAGCUGACAUUUUGCAAAAUUGUGCAAAUGAUCUCGCCUCAAAUUUGCAGAGAGCAAAUGAGGGAAUUCUAGCCCUCACAAACACAUUUAGGUAGCCCAUUUCCCUCAUUUUAUUGCUGAGGAAAAAGAUACAUCAGUGUUAAGUGCUUUUCCCAGGGAACCACUAUGGUUAUUGCCAUUUCCCUGACAUAAAAAACUGAUAGAAAGAAUUCUAGGUUCAGUAAAUGUUCCAUUAUCUUGUAUUGCUGAAUGAUUCCUAAUUGCCUAAAUUCAAAUCUUGGCUUUUCCAUUUCUAGCUAGAUAACUUUAAGAAAGUUAACUAACAUUUCUGUGUCGUGGUUUUCUCAUCUAUAAAAUGGGGAAGUAAUGCCUUCUGCAUAGGAUCUUGUAAGGAUCAAAUCAGUUAGUCCAUACAAAGGGUACACUUUCAUACAAUAAGCACUCACAUGUUUGCUAAUAUGACACAUUAAAAUGCUUGCUUGAUAAAUUUAUAGCUGUCUCUAUGAAAUACAUACAUUCUUCUUUGAAAUAUACUUUCUUGGUUAGAUGGCAACUCUUUUAAUAAUGUUAGCCAUCUUAGAAUGGCACUUACUGUAAGUAGAAUUGGCACAAUAACUCUUCCAAGGAAGGUAACUAGGGCUGGAUCAUGGGCAUCUAAACUGAAUGCUUAGUUUAGUGUUUACUCCUAUGAAGCAAGUGGCCUAAUGGCAAUUGCGCUUAUUCUGUAUGAACUGCAUAACACAAAAGAGAAUGUGUACCACAUGUAAUACCAUGGUUAAAUUUGAGCUUUUUCCCUGUGUAACAUUUUAUGACUUAAUAUCAGUAGAAUAUUAGAACCCUAUUGUGCUAUUGCAAUAAAAGUGCAGUUGUAGGCUUUUGCAGAGAACAGUCCUAUGUAAAAGUGAGUGAGUAAAAACAAUUAUCCUUUAAAUGAGCAAUUCUGUUAUUUCAAAAUUAUGAGAUUAUGGAAUAAUGUAAUUGCCCUACACUUUAGUUAAAUUGAGAAAUAAUUAGAUGUUUAUUAGCAACUCUUGGAUAUAGGAUAUUGGAUAAUUUUUAACAAUGCAUGGUAUGGGAAAAAUAAGUUGCUUGCAAAAAUAUUGCUUAACUUCAUUUAAUUGCAGUACUGCAUGAUUAACCACAAAUGUUGUGGAGGCCUACAUUAUUAAUGGUGUGGCAUUCCAUCCAGUUGGACUUUUGAGAUGUACAUCUUUCUGAUUUCCUGUUGUGGGUCAGUAGUUAAUGAAUCUGACUAGGAACCAGGAGGUUAUGGUUUUGAUCCCUGGCCUUGCUUAGUGGGUUAAGGAUCCGGCAUUGCCCUGAGCUGUGGUGUAGGUCGCAGACGCGGUUCAGAUCUAGUGUUGCUGUGGCCCUGGCAUAGGCCAGUAGCUACAGCUCCAAUUAGACCCCUAGCUUGAGAACCUCCAUAUGCCAUGGGUGUGGCCC